AGUGAACGCUGGCGGUAGGCCUAACACAUGCAAGUCGAACGGCAGCACAGUAAGAGCUUGCUCUUACGGGUGGCGAGUGGCGGACGGGUGAGGAAUACAUCGGAAUCUACUCUUUCGUGGGGGAUAACGUAGGGAAACUUACGCUAAUACCGCAUACGACCUACGGUUGAAAGCAGUGGAUCUUCGGACCUUGCGCGAUCGAAUGAGCCGAUGUCGGAUUAGCUAGUUGGCGGGGUAAAGGCCCACCAAGGCGACGAUCCGUAGCUGGUCUGAGAGGAGGAACCGCCAAAUGGGAAAGGAGACACGGAACAGACACGGAGGGGAGGCAGAAGGGGGGAAUAUGGGAAAAAGGGGGGAAGACUGAACAAGCCAAACCGGGUGGGGGAAGAAGCCCUGCGGGUUGGAAAGCCCUUUUGUGGGGAAAAAAAAGCAGCAGGUUAAAACCACGGUGUUUGAAGGGAACCAAAAAAAAAAGAACCGGUAAAUUCGUG
rnacentral:rRNA from 1 species